rnacentral:lncRNA from 10 species
GGGGGACUGGCCCCAGCGGCUUGGCCCCCAGGCGUCUGUGGCAGUGCGUCCCCUCUCCGCGGGAUCGUCGCCAUGGUCCUGCGAUCCUAGGAGUCGGGCAAGGCCGAACCUGCCUGAAGAAACCUCAAGCGGAGAUUCAAGGAAGCACCACGUGAUCCCUAAGGAUCCCAAAGAUGCGUCGGGCAUGCAUGGGCGGUGUGAGGGUGCGUCUCCCUGACAGGUGUCCCCGCUGGGAUUUCGAGGAAUUAUCCGAUGAAAAGUAGAAGAGGUUGAAUGACUUUCAGUGGCCUUUUCUUCACAGAUUAUUCAGUAAGAACAGUCUCAGGAAAACAGGACCUUCAACAGAGAUAAGAGAAUUAAAAUAUGCAGACUAACAACUCUGGGAAUGGGCUGACCAGCCUGAUAAGAAUAGGCUGAUGGCACCUACAGAAGGCCACAAAACACUGACCAAGAAAGCAAUGACCAACAAAGCAAUGACCUGAGACUGCACAUUUCACAAGAAUGUUUUGAUCAUCAUUUUUUCUAAUUUCCCUUAAAAACCCCUGAUAUGGAGACAGAACUCGGCGGUCUUUGAACACUAGUUCACUGCCUCCCCUGGGUUGUUGGAUUCCUGAAUAGAGCUAACCAUCCUUUCACCAAUGCUCAUCUCUUAAACUUUCAAGUGACAAGUGGUCUGGACCUGAAUUUCGUUACAAAACCUAUGUAUACCUUACCUUACAUGG